AUUGAACGCUGGCGGAAUGCUUUACACAUGCAAGUCGAACGGCAGCACGGGGCAACCUGGUGGCGAGUGGCGAACGGGUGAGUAAUACAUCGGAACGUGCCCAAUCGUGGGGGAUAACGUAGCGAAAGUUACGCUAAUACCGCAUACGAUCUACGGAUGAAAGCGGGGGAUCGCAAGACCUCGCGCGAAUGGAGCGGCCGAUGUCAGAUUAGGUAGUUGGUGGGGUAAAGGCUCACCAAGCCGACGAUCUGUAGCUGGUCUGAGAGGACGACCAGCCACACUGGGACUGAGACACGGCCCAGACUCCUACGGGAGGCAGCAGUGGGGGAAUUUUGGACAAUGGGCGCAAGCCUGAUCCAGCCAUUCCGCGUGCAGGAUGAAGGCCUUGGUGUAACUG
rnacentral:rRNA from 1 species